rnacentral:piRNA from 1 species
UCUGCAGAAAGGGUGCCGCUCGCUAGCAGU